UUUAUUUCAAUGAAAACUCUAGUAUUUAUAGCCUAAUAUUGGUAGCUUAGUGGGCUUUUGAGAGAGGUCAAAGUCUGAGAUUUUUUCUUUUAUUUAUUUAUAUUUUUGUAUUCAUUUAUUUAUUUAUUUAAUUUCUUUUUUCUUUUUUUUUUCAAAACACGUGGGCUUCACCUAGCGAGCAUGACAGCUCAUGAACAAAUCUUUGCUCCUUCAAGAUUAACGUUUUGACUGACGAAUAAACCGCUGUUGGAAGUAACUCAAGUCUUU
rnacentral:lncRNA from 1 species